rnacentral:rRNA from 1 species
GAUGAACGCUGGCGGCGUGCCUAAUACAUGCGAGUCGAGCGAACGGACGAGAAGCUUGCUUCUCUGAUGUUAGCGGCGGACGGGUGAGUAACACGUGGAUAACCUACCUAUAAGACUGGGAUAACUUCGGGAAACCGGAGCUAAUACCGGAUAAUAUUUUGAACCGCAUGGUUCAAAAGUGAAAGACGGUCUUGCUGUCACUUAUAGAUGGAUCCGCGCUGCAUUAGCUAGUUGGUAAGGUAACGGCUUACCAAGGCAACGAUGCAUAGCCGACCUGAGAGGGUGAUCGGCCACACUGGAACUGAGACACGGUCCAGACUCCUACGGGAGGCAGCAGUAGGGAAUCUUCCGCAAUGGGCGAAAGCCUGACGGAGCAACGCCGCGUGAGUGAUGAAGGUCUUCGGAUCGUAAAACUCUGUUAUUAGGGAAGAACAUAUGUGUAAGUAACUGUGCACAUCUUGACGGUACCUAAGCAGAAAGCCACGGCUAACUACGUGC